CCAACCCGAACUUGUGUCUCGUAUACGAGUCUAUUGAAGCCAUUUCUGGUAUUCUACCAAUGACAUCUUUUAUGAUCUAUGGAACCCAACUUGGGACGACAUCCACUGCGACUUCCAUUCAAGGAUUGAUUUCAGCGACCUACUUUGGACUAUAGAUCUGUGACGACCCUAUAUGAAGAAGUUUAAGGAUUAUCAACUCUUUAUUGCUUUAAUAAUUGAUGACUCACUGGGUGAUUUAGGGGCUGGAAUCGGAGCGUUAGGCCAGCGAGUGGUUUUCCGCAUUUUCGUCGCUUAUUUCCUCACUGGAUUCCUCUACUCAAUUUUAAAAUUUUUUGAAACGGGAAGGUUGAAGAAAUUCAGUGACAUUCAACGUCCGUAUAGUGCGUUAGUCUUUUUGUAGCCAGCAGCAUCUAAGCAAACUAUUUUCCUAUAAAUCAUUAAAUCGGUUCUUUUGAGACUCAACUUAUUUUUUUACUAAACAUUUUUAGCUUAUGUACAGAUUAAAGCCUAGAUGAAAUAUUCAAAAUUUUAAAGACUAAAAGAAUUUCAGUUAUUGUACAUAAUUUGAUAAAUCAAUAUAAAAGAAGCUUUAAUGUCAGUAUUCUAAUUUUUUGUCUACCCUUUUGGCCACAAGGGUAACAUAGCGUCGCUUGUUCGCUUCCAUCUUCUAGGAUCCAGAAGUUUUACUGGACUUCCUUGAAUCGGACCACCCCUAAAUGCGAUUAAUGCUGACUACAAGACAAACUUCGCGAGUGUAUUUUCUUCUUCUCGUCGUUAUUUUAACACCCAUUCACAACUCAUAGGAUCUCAUAUUCAUCAAACAUAACCUACAUACGCACACAAAAGUUUAUUUCAACUUGCAAAUGUUGCAAACAUUUCUGAUUAAUCGCCACCAAAAUUAUCAAGAGGCGGUCGGUUGUGAUACACUUAUAUACAAUUAACUAUUACCAACUCUUGAAUAUGGUUGUU